GUUUAUUUCCACAGGCAGGAAAGAACAAGAUAAGAAGGAAGAGUUUUGCCAAUGAAGGUUGCCGCAGUACUAAUUCAGUGCCUAACUAUGAAAAAAACACAGCCUGUGUACCCUUGCUUGGAUGCAGUUUCUAGAGACAGAAGGUAACAGAAAGGAUUUUUGCCUUCAGCAAGACUGUAUGCAACAAAUCCCACAGCACUUCACAUCUCAGGGUAAGUAAUUGAAAUGAGGCUUUAUAAAUAUAAACAUAGUACAGACAUCAACAUUUUCAGUUCAUGAAAAAGAUUCAAGUCUGAUUAAAAGCAAAAGUCCUCUAAGUGUUGCUGAAUAAAUGUGAGAAAAGAUAAAAUAAUUACUUAAUG
rnacentral:lncRNA from 1 species